GUGGGGAAUAUUGGACAAUGGGCGCAAGCCUGAUCCAGCCAUGCCGCGUGAGUGAUGAAGGCCUUAGGGUUGUAAAGCUCUUUCAGUGGGGACGAUAAUGACGGUACCCACAGAAGAAGCCCCGGCUAACUUCGUGCCAGCAGCCGCGGUAAUACGAAGGGGGCUAGCGUUGUUCGGAUUUACUGGGCGUUAAGCGCACGUAGGCGGAUCGUUAAGUCGGGGGUGAAAUCCUGGAGCUCAACUCCAGAACUGCCUUCGAUACUGGAGAUCUUGAGUCCGGAAGAGGUGAGUGGAACUCCUAGUGUAGAGGUGGAAUUCGUAGAUAUUAGGAAGAACACCAGUGGCGAAGGCGGCUCACUGGUCCGGUACUGACGCUGAGGUGCGAAAGCGUGGGGAGCAAACAGGAUUAGAAACCCGGGUAGUCC
rnacentral:rRNA from 1 species